rnacentral:lncRNA from 1 species
CUGACUGCGGCCUGUUCACUUUAUUCUCCUCGUGCCAGGAAGGAAGGGACUUAACUGGGUUGGCCAAGGUGGUCAAUCCUGAUCACCAGGGGGGAAUUGGGCUAUCACCCCAAAGUAGAGGUAAAGAAAAAUAUAUCCGGAAACUUUAGAGCAUCUCUUAGUAUCAUCAUGCCCUAGAUUGGUAGGACUUCUAAAUUUCACAUAAGCCUGGAUGUUAUACACCUCAGUGGUCCAGCAAAUCUAGCAGUAUGGUCCUUGUAUUUGGAUAGCCUUGGAAGAUAUACAGCAAGGACCCUUGGGAUAAGAGGACUUGGCUGUGAUUCAAGGUAGAUUUGCCUUACAACAAAGCUGUAAACCAAAUAGCUUCCAUAGUUUCUAGAUUGUCAUAAGAGGAUUUCAA